GGCAGUGGUGUGGCAUAGUGGUAAUAAGUAAGGCUCGUAACUAAAAGGUUGCUGGUUCGAUUCCACGUUGGGGCACUGCCA